AGUGGAAUUGCUGGGUCAUAUGGUAACUCUGUGUUUAACAUUUUGAGGAACUUCCAAACUGUUUUCCAAAGCAACUGCACCAUUUUAGAUCCCCAAUAGCAGU
rnacentral:pre_miRNA from 1 species